rnacentral:rRNA from 1 species
CCUACGGGAGGCAGCAGUGAGGAAUAUUGGUCAAUGGGCGCGAGCCUGAACCAGCCAAGUAGCGUGAAGGAUGACUGCCCUACGGGUUGUAAACUUCUUUUAUAAAGGAGUAAAGUGAGGCACGUGUGCCAUCUUGUACGUACUUUAUGAAUAAGGAUCGGCUAACUCCGUGCCAGCAGCCGCGGUAAUCCGGAGGGUGCGAGCGUUAUACGGAUUUAUUGGGGUUAAAGGGUGCGUAGGCGGGGCUGUAAGUUAGUCGUGAAAGGCCCGGGCUCAACCCCGGCGAGGCCGUUGAAACUGGGUGUCUUGAGAGGAGGAGAGGUAUGCGGAAUGCCCGGUGUAGCGGUGAAAUGCGUAGAUAUUGCGCAGAACACCGAUUGCGAAGGCAGCAUACCG